rnacentral:lncRNA from 1 species
GUUGCGUUGAUCUGAAAUUUGCUUCUUGUGGUGAGGAUUCUGAUGAGAUCAUCGUCGUUGUAACAUUUGUCAUCGAGUUUCUCAUGGAGCAAUUUGGCUUCGGUUUUCGCAAGUGUCAUGUUCACUUCGCUUCCUUCAUAACGACAUGUAGCAACUAGAGGCAACAACAGCUACAGGAAAAUAACAUUAUUAUUGUUGAUGAUGAUGAAGGUUGUAGUUGUACUUUGUGUUUAGGUGUUUGUACCUUUCGGAAGUCUCCUUUUGUGAGAUAGGCGAUAUCUUCUUCCAUGGAUUUCUUAUAGCGAGCAUGGUAAGCUUGCUUUGCGAGAAGGAGAUCGUGUGAGGAUCUUGUGCAAACUACUUCCACAACGACUUGAUUGCUUUUUGUCCAUCUUUUUGUAGCUUCGUUGACUAAAUACGCAUCACGUUCUGGAGGACUAAGUAUCCAAAGAAGAACAAGUUUCUACAUAAAUUAAGAACAAUGGAACAUAUUAGAUGAUUAGAAAUUCUGUGAAUUUUCAUUUGUGGGUAUAGGAUUAGGGUUUACAAACCUCAAAGUCAUUUGAGAGUUCUUUGUCGAGUGAUUUGAGGAGGUCUUCGUUGUGGGUUGCAGCAUAAGUUUCGCGGAUUUGUUUGCGUUGUUCAGCAUCUCGGUGAGCUAAAAUUGAGAUGAUCAAUUUCUCGUUGGUUCCCCAUCCUUCAAAAUGCAAGUUGAUCACAAAACGAAAUUAGUUAGCAGAUGAAAUACAGAUUCAAGAAUAAUUGGGAAGAACGAGUGAUGAGAAAACAGGGGAGGAUAAUCAAUCGAGAUGGAGUCGAUAUUGAUUAGAUUAAAAUGGAUCAACGGAAAGCAGAGUUGAAAUCAUCAGAUCGAGAUUCACACAGAUUAAUUAUUGUUUUUGUAAUAUGAAAGAUCAGAUUCAUGGUUAUAUUUCCGAAGACUAAGUCAGAAUUGUUUCAACGCCAUGGAUAUACCUUUUUCUUCAGACAAUUUCUCUGAUGAACAAAUUAGAGUGCAUCAUAGAGUGGAUGACAGUGACAUUAUCCAUUUAUCCUAGGCGUAUUCAUGGACACAUUUUCCCUUCAGAAAUUUCUCCAUAGAUGGAUUGAGAGGUAACAAAACACUGAAGAAUCACACACACGUUUCGAUCAAGUGAUGGACGUGGAAUGAAACGGAAUCGGAGGAAAAUCGUAAGUCCGAAUUGAAUGAAUAUAGAAGAUCUAAGAUAGACUAAACGACAUGAAACAAAAUCGGAUGAAAAACGUGUGUCCAAAAUUGAGUGGAUAACAUUUACGAAGAUCUGAAGCUUAUGUCAACGCCAUAUAGACUUAGUUACUUCAGAAAUAUCUCCAUAAACGGAUUAAAGUGCAACAUAACAUUGAACAAUCAAGCAGGUUAAGAGCUUCAGAUCAAGUAACGCAUAUGAAUUGAAACAAAAUCGGAUAAAAAGCAUAGUUCCAAAUCCAGUGGAUAUCAGUGAUAAGAUCUGAUGAACACAAACAUUGGGAGAGAGACGAAGAGGUAUACCUGAGAAGGCUUUAUGGAGCUGUUCAACGUCGUCGGUGAUGGAGGUAGCAUGUGCUGGAACAAUGAUCGUCGACAUUUUCUUCGGUUAUCUUUUUGCUUUGAA